AUGAUUAAGAAAGGAGCCAUCUACAGACGCAAGGGAAGCGUCCAGCAUCCAGAGAGGAUGCUCCGUCAUCCACAGCCCAUGUGGCUCUGGCCACCAAGACAGAGCUGUGUGCCUGCAGGAGCCCCACCACUACUGGCACUUGUUGAAUGCCACAGGAGGCGGCAGGGAGAGAUUUGCCAAGUACUGCAGGAGCUGGUUCUACCCUCUCUCUCCCAGGAAGGAAUCUGAGAAAGCAACAACCCCUAUUAUGUGAUAGAAAGCUAGGGAGAAGCUAAAAAA
rnacentral:lncRNA from 1 species